UUCACUUUUUUGCGUCGGCGUGUAAUAGCCGUCGCGAAAGGUGGAUAUUUUGCUUCGGCAAAUUCACCCCGUCGCAAAGACACUAAUCCCGUACGACGGCAAAACAACCCCGUCGCAAAAACACCAAUCCCGUACGACGGCAAAACAUCCCCGUCGCCAUAAAACAAAGUGUUUGCUACUGCAUAACUACGCCGUCGCAUAUUGUGAUAUGAAUUGCUACCACCAAUGUGCCGUCGGGUGUACUUUGUUGAUCUAAACUCCAUGUUAGAGGGCAAAAGAGAAUUAAACUCUGAAAAUUUUCUCUUUGGGUCAGCCUCUCUUCCGCUCUCAACGUACUUCUCUUCCGCAUCAGAUCUAUUCAGAGUAACAAAGUCACAAAUACAUGCAUCUUGUCUCUGGGUAAGAUCGGUUAUAGCCGUUUCCUUAACUCGCUUUCUUCGAGCAGCUCUCUCAGCAUCAUCAAAGCACCAUGGGUCUCUCAUCAAAACACCAUCUUCCCACCAUCUUUCACCAUCUUCUAACCAUCUUUUAAAAGUCUGGAUUAGGGUUCUUGUAAAUUGGGGGUUUUUCGUUCUGUUGAAAUUAGGGUAUUCAAUUUGGGGGUUUGAUGGGUAAAUUGGAGGAGGCACCCAAGAACAUUGAGUAUGAAAUCGGAGGGAUCCAGAACGAUAGCUCCAUUAUGGCCUUAACAGCGUCAAGAGCAACCUUGUUGGCUCUCACCCAAUCGAAUCUGCUCACCAAUCGGGUUUUGAGCUUGUUCCUGGGUUUCAGACGAAGAUGCAAGAUGCAGGCCAACACUUACGGACCUACGUUUCCGAUGAGGAUGGAUUGCCAACACUUACGAUGGCUUCUGCUUGUGGCCCACUGAGUACACCAACUAUUGGAUGAGCUCCAGCCGGUGGAGGAACGGCGGUGGUGACGUGGUGGGUAAGCUCGCUGAGGCUGCUAGGGACGGAAGUAUUGGAUUGAGGCUUUACCUUUUGUCAUGGGAUUGACAUUGGAGUAUAAUGAAUUCUAUAUGGCCCAAAUGACAGAGUUCCUCACAAGAUUUUUGUUUGGUUUUAUUGAACCUGAUUAGUUUUCUCGAGUUCUUAUUAUCUUGAAUCGGCAAAUUACUAGUUGGCAAAAGAUUGUGUUAUAUAUAGUAUGAGCACACCAGAAGAAGAACCACAGUGCCGCAUGUGUCGGUGGUAUUUUACGAGGCAGGAGAUAGAAUAUUGUUCUCCAUCUCGGAGGGAUGGGAUUAGCAGGAAGAAAGAGACAGAAUUGCGCGAUUUAUGUUGCUCGUAUCUUAAAGAGCUUGGCAUGAGGCUUGAAUUGUUCCCAAGGGGCAUGUUGGAUUCAGGGAGACAACACUUGGUCCUCCUUUGAUUCACUGUCAUAUGGACAUGUGCCUUACAGUCUUACUCAAGGCAGAGUGUUUUUCAGGUUAGCUGCUUUGGUAGAAUGAUACUGAGGAAGGUGUCAAUUUUCAACAACCUCUGCAAAGUUUUGGUUAUUUUUCUUGAUUAAAGAGGAAGGUACUAAUUUGAGAGGUGAUGGGAAAUAAUGAUGUACCUAUUGAGGAAGAGAAGUAGGUCUUAGUCAACCUUGUUGUAGUCAAGGAAAAUGAGUUUAUUACAGUGGGAGUCCAGUUUUGCGACAAGGAAGAACAUAUAUCAAGGUCUGCAUUGGCUAUUUUCCAUGUCUAGGAGAAAGAGAUUGAGAGGAAGAAGUUGGAGGUGAGAGACAAGGUUCAGGCUCAGCUGGGACGAGUUGAAGAAGCAACUAGGUGCUUAGCUGACAUGCACGAAGCAAGUAAACUGUGAUUGCCACUAAAUCAUGAUAUUGUCCAGGUUUAAAGCAUCCAUUAUGUUUCACAGCAUCUUCAAGUUCUUGGGAGGUCCCGGCAAGGCUUAUCUUGAAGUAUAGGAAAAAAAAACUACCUUGUAUUAUCUUGUAAACUCAUGUAUAAGAGCUUCAUUUCCUUUGUGACAUUCAUGAGAAAAAUUAACAUGCAACAUUCCCUUUUCAAUAUGCUUAAUUCCAU